GUGGGGAAUUUGGACAAUGGGCGCAAGCCUGAUCCAGCAAUGCCGCGUGCAGGAAGAAGGCCUUCGGGUUGUAAACUGCUUUUGUACGGAACGAAACGGUCCGGGUUAAUACCCUGGGCUAAUGACGGUACCGUAAGAAUAAGCACCGGCUAACUACGUGCCAGCAGCCGCGGUAAUACGUAGGGUGCAAGCGUUAAUCGGAAUUACUGGGCGUAAAGCGUGCGCAGGCGGUUUUGUAAGACAGGCGUGAAAUCCCCGGGCUCAACCUGGGAAUUGCGCUUGUGACUGAAAGGCUGGAGUGCGGCAGAGGGGGAUGGAAUUCCGCGUGUAGCAGUGAAAUGCGUAGAUAUGCGGAGGAACACCGAUGGCGAAGGCAAUCCCCUGGACCUGUACUGACGCUCAUGCACGAAAGCGUGGGGAGCAAACAGGAUUAGAUACCCUAGUAGUCC
rnacentral:rRNA from 1 species